rfam:Felis catus isolate Cinnamon breed Abyssinian chromosome X, whole genome shotgun sequence.
GCCUGGGUGGCUCAGUCGGUUAAGUGUCCAACUUCGGCUCAGAUCAUGAUCUCACAAUUCGUGGGUUCGAGUCCCGCAUCAGGCU